rnacentral:lncRNA from 1 species
GGGGGGGGGGGGGGGGGGGGGCUAGGAUGAAAUUUGAAAAAAAUAGGCAGGACAGGAGUUUUGAGUAAAAAAAAGGCAGGAUGAGACACUUGCAAAAAAAAAAAAGUCAGGACGACAAUUUAGGGAAAAAAAGUCAGGAUAAAACAAAAAAAAAAGGCAGGACCGAACAGAGUGAAAAAUAAAAAGGCAGGACAGAGAUUGCAGCUAAAAAAAAAUUCAGGACAAAAUUUUUCAUCCUAGCCCCCCCCCC